UUGUGUUUUGUUGUCUCUCAGUAUUUAUUUAAUACGAGAAACACAAACUCUCUCCCACACUUAACGUUACAAAUAACAACCAGCAGAUGGCAGCACCGCACCAACGUAACAUCUCGUUAAACUAACGCGAGAGGAUGACUUCACUGUGCGCAGGCGCAAUUACUUGCUAAACAACAACAACAACAACAACAGUAGCCAACAAGACAAAAGCUACAAGCUAACGGCGAAAAUCUUGAGUGAACGUCUCCUAAACAGAGGUGUAGUCAGUGAAUGCAGCACCACACAGACAGCGAUGGAGAUGAGUCACAUCACAUGGACUGUGAAAGGAAUGACACUUCCAGUGUCAGUAUGGACUUUCAUAUUAGAUGUUCUGCUGCCUCAGUGGAUGAGAUGAUGGAGAUGGAGGAACAUCCUACAGAACUGAUACUAACACCUCCUCUGCGCUGAUGCUGCUGGAUUUCCUGCCUGCGAGGAUGAAGUCCUGGAAAUGGAGGACCACCAUACAGACCUACUGAUGCUGCUGGUUCUGCUGCCUCAGUGGAUGAGAUGAUGGAGAUGGAGGAACAUCCUACAGAACUGAUACCAACACCUCCUCUGUGCUGAUGCUGCUGGAUUUCCUGCCUGGGUGAAUGAAGUCCUGGAAAUGGAGGACCAUCAUACAGACCUACUGAUGCUGCUGGGUGUUGAUGACGACAGCGGCUGGCCCCUGACUCAAGUUAUGUUAUUUGUUGCCCCUGUGGGUAAGAAAUAGCAUUUCUUGGGUGUGAAAGGGGGGGGUGUAGAAGUGUUUUUUUCACCUGUUUCCUGUCUUUUUCAAUAAAAAAUGUUCUACACCCCCCUAGUUUUCAUGUGAGGGCUCAUUACGAGUCCCUGGUUUCAUCACGCCCUUAUCAAGCAAGCCCAGGAAUCGAACCACCGGCCAGCCUCACAGUAGUCAGUUGUGUUUGCGCCAUUGACCUUCUGACUGAGCUAUCUGUGAGCUACCAAUGAUGUGUUCGGAACUUGUAUUUAUUGUGUGUUUUUUUGGACCUGAAAGGCCAUAAAAGCUCAAGUGUUCUCUGUGGGUCUUGAACUAACUACCUUUGAGGUGCAGGGGAUGAGUUUGGCACUGGUUUUAACCACUGAGCUAUUCUGUCAGCUAAUACCGCAUAUUUGGAAGUUGUAUUUAUUGUGUUUGCUUCCACUCCUCUGUUUUUCGGGUGAAAAGCAAGCGCUUGAGCAGGACUUGAUCUCACAACCUUGGAAUCUGUAGUGAAAGUGUGCCUUUUGCCUGAUGCUUAGACCACUGAGCUAAACUCAAAGUUAGGAAGUUGGAGUCAAUUUCCAAGUAUAAGAAAUGUAUACAGCUGAAACCCUGAGGCGUGAGAAGGGAUGGAAAUUUUGAAAAAAUAGAUCCCGCUGUGGGAUUUGAACUCACAAUCUCAAAAGUUGUAGGAUUGUGUGACAGUUGCCCCAUUUCUUUUCCACUGUACCACAGCUGAAUUGCUGAUGUGAGAGGUUUUUUUUUGGUAUUUGAGGCGUAAACUUGAACUGUGAGGACAGACUCUGCUCCAUCUCCAAGUUGGGUCUAGGCCUUUGGCUCAAAGAGGUCAGGAAGGGGAAGUGAACCAGACUGAAAGUCAUGUGAAGUCUGUGAUACAGACAACUCACCACUACACCAGCCUAACCUGCCAUGUGACAGAGUCUGGUCGACACCAGCUCUGAAUGGAAAGUGUCCUGACAUUACUUCUGUUAUGAUUUGAUGCUUUAUAAAUAAAAUUGGAUUUGGAUUAUUGAAGUGGUUCAGUGUUUUCUCCAUGAACACUGAUGUUCAUAGUGCUGUCAGAGGUUUAAUGUAUUACCCGCAUAUAUUUUUUUGUUAGUGUUUCUGUAAAGUCCUGUACCAGUUUUAGAGCACUGAGAUUUUACUAGUUAGUAUUAGUUGAUUUGUCCACUUAAUAUUUUUUGGGUAACAGUCAUUGCAGACUCUAUCACAUGGCAGGUUAGGCUGGUGUAGUGGUGAGUUGUGUAAAAGCUCAAAUAUUCUUUGCAGGUCUUGAACCAACUCCCUCUCAGUGCAGGGGAUGAGUCUCAUACUGGUCUUAAACACUGAGCUAUUCUCUCAGAUACUGCUGAAGUGUUUGGAACUUGUAUUUAUUGUGUGUUUUUUUGGACCUGAAAAUAUGUAAAAGCUCAAGUGUUGUCUGUGGGCCUUGAACAAACUACUUUCAAAUGCAGGGGAUGAGACUUGUACUAGUUUUAACCACUGAGCUUUUCCAUCAGCUGAUACUGCAGAUUUGGAAGUUGUAUUUAUUGUGUUUGCUUCCGCUCCUCUGUUUUUUGAGUGAAAAGCAAAUACCAGAUUAGGACUUGCUACUGGUGAAGUGUUUGGAACUUGUAUUUAUUGUGUGUUUUUUUGGACCCGAAAAUGUGUAAAUAAUCAAGUGUUUUCUGUGGGUCUUGAACUAGCCACCAUUAAGUACAAGGGAUGAGUCUUGUACUAAUUUUAAUCACUGAGCUAUUUUGUUAACUGGUGAUAGAAAGUUGGAAGUUGUAUUUAUUGUGUUGGUUUCCGCUCCUCUGUUUUUUGGGUGAAAAGGAAGAACCAGAGGGGGAUUUGAUCUUACAACCUUGGAAUCUGUAGCGAAAGUGUGCUUCUUGCCUGAUGCUUAGACCACUGAGCUAAAUUUGAGUUUAGAAAGUUGGAGUCAAUUUCCAAGUAUAAGAAAUGUAUACAGCUGAAACCCUGAGGAGCGAGAAGGGAUGGAAAUUUUGAAAAAAUAGAUCCCACUGUGGGAUUUGAACUCACAAUCUCAAAAGUUGUAGGAUUGUAUGACAGUUAUCCCAUUUCUUUUCCACUGUACCACAGCUGAAUUGCUGAUGUGAGAGGGUUUUUUUUGGUAUUUGAGGUGUAAACUUGAACUGUGAGGACAGACUCUGCUCCAUCUCCAAGUUGGGUCUAGGCCUUUGGCUCAAAGAGGUCAGGAAGGGGAAGUGAACCAGACUGAAAGUCAUGUGAAGUCUGUGAUACAGACAACUCACCACUACACCAUCCUAACCUGCCAUGUGACAGAGUCUGGUCGACACCAGCUCUGAAUGGAAAGUGUCCUGACAUUACUUCUGUUAUGAUUUGAUGCUUUAUAAAUAAAAUUGGAUUUGGAUUAUUCCAAAUCCAAAGUUCAGUGUUUUCUCUGUGAAGACUGAUGUUCAUAGUGCUGUCAGAGGUUUAAUGUAUUACCUGCAGUCUGUUUUUUGUUAGUGUUUCUGUAAAGUCCUGUACCAGUUUUAGAGCACUGAGAUUUUACUAGUUAGUAUUAGUUGAUUUGUCCACUUAUUAUUUUUUGGGUAACAGUCAUUGCAGACUCUAUCACAUGGCAGGUUAGGCUGGUGUAGUGGUGAGUUGUCUGUAUCACAGACUUCACAUGACUUUCAGUCUGGUUCACUUCCCCUUCCUGACCUCUUUGAGCCUCUUUGAGCCUGACCUACUUGGAGUUCAAGUUUACACCUCAAAUACCAAAAAAAAAAACCUUCACAUCAAUAAUUCAGCAGUGGCACAGUGGUUAAGAAAUGGGACAACUGUCACACAACUGUUUAACUUUUGAGAUUGUGAGUUCAAAUCCCACACCAGGAUCUAUUUUUUCAAAAUUCCCAUCCCUUCUCACACCUCAGGGUUUCAGCUGUAUACAUUUCUUAUAAUUGGAAAUUCAAUCCAACUUUCUUAGCUCAAAUUCAGCUCAGUGGUCUAAGCAUCAGGCAAAAGGCACGCUUUCACUACAGAUUCCAAUGUUGUGAGAUCAAGUGCCACUCAGGUACUUGCUUUUCACUCAAAAAACAGAGGAGUGGAAGCAAACACAAUAAAUACAACUUCCAAAUUUCUACCACCAGUUGACAAAAUAGCUCAGUGAUUAAAAUUAGUACAAGACUCAUCCCUUGUACUUAAUGGUGGCUAGUUCAAGACCCACAGAGAACACUUGAUUAUUUACACAUUUUCGGGUCCAAAAAAACACACAAUAAAUACAAGUUCCAAACACUUCACCAGUAGCUGACAGAAUAGCUCAGUGUUUAAAACCAGUAUAAGACUCAUCCCCUGCACUGAAAGGGAGCUAGUUCAAGACCUGCAAAGAACAUUUUAGCUUUUACACAACUCACCACUACACCAGCCUAACCUGCCAUGUGAUAGAGUCUGCAAUGACUGUUACCCAAAAAAUUAUAAGUGGACAGAUCAACUAAUACUAACUAGUAAAAUCUCAGUGCUCUAAAACUGGUACAGGACUUUACAGAAACACUAACAAAAAAAUAUAUGCGGGUAAUACAUUAAACCUCUGACAGCACUAUGAACAUCAGUGUUCAUGGAGAAAACACUGAACCACUUCAAUAAUCCAAAUCCAAUUUUAUUUAUAAAGCAUCAAAUCAUAACAGAAGUAAUGUCAGGACACUUUCCAUUCAGAGCUGGUGUCGACCAGACUCUAUCACAUGGUAGGUUAGGCUGGUGUAGUGGUGAGUUAUCUGUAUCACAGACUUCACAUGACUUUCAGUCUGGUUCACUUCCCCUUCCUGACCUCUUUGAGCCAAAGGCCUAGACCCAACUUGGAGAUGGAGCAGAGUCUGUCCUCACAGUUCAAGUUUAUACCUCAAAUACCAAAAAAAAAACCUCUCACAUCAGCAAUUCAGCUGUGGCACAGUGGAAAAGAAAUAGGACAACUGUCACAUAAUCCUACAACUUUUGAGAUUGUGAGUUCAAAUCCCACAGCGGGAUCUAUUUUUUCAAAAUUUCCAUCCCUUCUCACGCCUCAGGGUUUCAGCUGUAUACAUUUCUUAUACUUGGAAAUUGACUCCAACGUCCUAACCUUGAGUUUAGCUCAGUGGUCUAAGCAUCAGGCAAAAGGCACACUUUCACUACAGAUUCCAAGGUUGUGAGAUCAAGUCCUGCUCAAGCACUUGCUUUUCACCCGAAAAACAGAGGAGUGGAAGCAAACACAAUAAAUACAACUUCCAAAUAUGCAGUAUCAGCUGACAGAAUAGCUCAGUGGUUCAAACUAGUGUGAAACUCAUCCCCUGCACUCAAAGGUAGUUAGUUCAAGACCCAUAGAGAACACUUGAGCUUUUACACCCUUUCAGGUCCAAAAAAACACACAAUAAAUACAAGUUCCAAACACAUCAUUAGUAGCUCACAGAUAGCUCAGCCAGAAGGUCAAUGGUGCAAACACAACUGACUACUGUGAGGCUGGCCGGUGGUUCGAUUCCUGGGCUUGCUCGAUAAGGGCGUGAUGAAACCAGGGACUCAUAAUGAGCCCUCACAUGAAAACUAGGGGGGGGUGUAGAAAUUUUUUUAUUGAAAAAGACAGGAAACAGGUGAAAAAAAACACUUCUGCACCCCCCCUUUCACACCCAAGAAAUGCUAUUUCUUACCCACAGGGGCAACAAAUAACAUAACUUGAGUCAGGGGCCAGCCGCUGUCGUCGUCAACACCUGGAAGAAAAAACACAAAAACUCAACAUAACCUUCAAAAAACACACCAAUAGCAUUACACAGACAAUUCAACUCAGUUACUUCACGUUAGGAAAACUACUCAAUAGCGUCAAAACACAACCAAUACAAAUGCACUUUCAAAAAACACAAGACAUAUUCAUGGAACCUCAAAUACAAAACAAACACUAAUCAUUACUCUAAAACACCAGCUCCUCAUCAUCUCCUGCUCCAUAACCCCUCCCUGACACAUCUCAGGAAACACGGAGGGGUCUAGGCCCCCUCCGCCCCUCCCUCUCCGUCCGCUCCCGAUACUCAGCUCCCCCGAGUCUUGAACCUUCAACCUGCCCAUGACAGGCGGCCGGACAACAGCCAAGGACCAAGCCACUGAGCCACCGAGCACCGGGGCGCUAACACCUCCUGUCUCACUGCUUUUCACACAACUGCACAGGACCACAGGCCCAACAACACAUCACAUCAAACAAAAACAUCACAUUUCCAUCUCAUCUGUUUCACUGGAACAAAUUCACUCAGCUUUUACACAACACAAAUCUCUCACACAUUCACACUCACAACCACACUGUACAAAACAUCUCACUUCUCUAAAACCCUUCCAAAUAAAACAUACUAUUGGAGUUGCAGUGGAGAAAACAUCAGGAAUGCAUAUUUCUGGAAACCAACAGUCAACCUGGACUAUGUCUGCAUUAGAAACCAAAUCAAACUUACAAAUCUGGGAAGAACAACCAUUUCACAAACUACACACCUGCUACUACUACCUUGACUCAUCAAAUAAACCAUCUGACAAAAACAGGACAAAAUGCGUCUCAUCCAUUUAACUGGGCCUUUAUGGGACAAAUUCACAGUCAGUAUCUGACUCAUUAACACACACAACCAGACUGUAGAAAAUCUGGAUACAUCUAAUUUUAAUCUGAUCCUAAACUCAAAAAACAAAACUACAAAAAACUAUUCAGUAAACAGUUGGACAAAUUCAUAGAUAAACAUACACUACUUACUCAAAGUCAAUACUGAUUCAGACCAAACAGAGCAACUUCUCUGGCAUUAAUAGAGUCAACAGAGGAAACUACCAACUCAGUAGAACAAAACCAUCACACAGUUGGAGCAUUCACUGACCUCAAAAAAGCUUUUCAGUAAUAAAGAUAAAAUAUCUCACCCAGCAGCAUCAGUAGGUCUGUAUGAUGGUCCUCCAUUUCCAGGACUUCAUUCACCCAGGCAGGAAAUCUACAAGUGGGACAAAAGAAUUACUGACAUUACUUUGACAUCCUACAGAGAACAUGUGGAAUGAGAAAGACCAUCUAUUCUAUGAAAGGCAGAGGGGAAGAGUAAGGUGUGGAGCCACUUCACAAAAGACUCCACGGGCACUAGAUGCAACAUCUACAGUGCAAGAGUUAGCCAGGGCUCCAGCACCAGCAAAGCAAAGAACACAACAAAUUUUCUUUUUUAUCAUUGUGUUUACAGUUUGCUUUUCUUGUAUCAUUGUGUUUACAGUUUGCCUGUUCUUAUUUAUCACUGUUUGCAGUUUGCCUUUUCUUAUUUAUCAUUGUUUGCAGUUCGCCUUUUCUUAUUUAUCAGUGGGUUUACAGUCCUUAUGUUGACAGUGUUACUAAGUAAAGUUCCUUAUUUUAAUUUAGUAGUCUUCUACUUCUUUAUGUUGAUUCAUAUUUUGGGUAUUAUAAGAAUUUAUGUUCAUGUAUAGUAUAUAUCCUGUGUAUAUCAAUGCUCUUAUUUCAUAUAUUGACCAAUAUGCUGGUUAUCGGCCAAUAUAUCAUAUCAGCUUUUUUUUUGUGCCCCAUUAUCAUUUAUAUUGGU